UGGGAAUUUGGACAAUGGGCGAAAGCCUGAUCCAGCAAUGCCGCGUGUGUGAAGAAGGCCUUCGGGUUGUAAAGCACUUUUGUCCGGAAAGAAAUCCUUGGCUCUAAUACAGUCGGGGGAUGACGGUACCGGAAGAAUAAGCACCGGCUAACUACGUGCCAGCAGCCGCGGUAAUACGUAGGGUGCAAGCGUUAAUCGGAAUUACUGGGCGUAAAGCGUGCGCAGGCGGUUUGCUAAGACCGAUGUGAAAUCCCCGGGCUCAACCUGGGAACUGCAUUGGUGACUGGCAGGCUAGAGUAUGGCAGAGGGGGGUAGAAUUCCACGUNUAGCAGUGAAAUGCGUAGAGAUGUGGAGGAAUACCGAUGGCGAAGGCAGCCCCCUGGGCCAAAUACUGACGCUCAUGCACGAAAAGCGUGGGGAGCAAAACAGGAUUAGAUACCCUGGUAGUCCACGCCCUAAAACGAUGUCAACUAGUUGUUGGGGAUUCAUUUCCUUAGUAACGUAGCUAACGCGUGAAGUUGACCGCCUGGGGAGUACGGUCG
rnacentral:rRNA from 1 species